rnacentral:rRNA from 1 species
UACGUAGGGUGCAAGCGUUGUCCGGAAUUAUUGGGCGUAAAGAGCUCGUAGGCGGUUCGUCGCGUCGGCUGUGAAAACCCGGAGCUCAACUCCGGGCCUGCAGUCGAUACGGGCGGACUAGAGUUCGGCAGGGGAGACUGGAAUUCCUGGUGUAGCGGUGAAAUGCAUAGAUAUCAGGAGGAACACCGGUGGCGAAGGCGGUGAUCUGGGCCAGUACUGACGCUGAGGAGCGAAAGCGUGGGGAGCGAACAGG